UACAGAGGGGGCAAGCGUUGUUCGGAAUUACUGGGCGUAAAGGGCGCGUAGGCGGCCCGCUAAGUCGAACGUGAAAUCCCCGAGCUCAACUCGGGAACUGCGUCCGAUACUGGUGGGCUUGAAUCCGGGAGAGGGAUGCGGAAUUCCAGGUGUAGCGGUGAAAUGCGUAGAUAUUAGGAAGAACACCGGUGGCGAAGGCGGCCCACUGGCUCGAUACUGACGCUGAGGUGCGAAAGCGUGGGGAGCAAACAGG
rnacentral:rRNA from 1 species